CCUACGGGUGGCAGCAGUCGAGAAUCAUUCACAAUGGCGGAAACCCUGAUGGUGCGACGCCGCGUGGGGGAAUGAAGGCCUUCGGCUUGUAACCCCCUUUCAUGUGGGAGCAAAUUAAAAAGAUAGUACCACACGAGGAAGCGACGGCUAACUCUGUGCCAUCAGCCGCGGUAAUACAGAGGUCUCAAGCGUUGUUCGGAAGCACUGGGCGUAAGGCGUGCGUUGGCGGUUUCGUAAGGCGUGGGUGAAAGUCGCGGGCUCAACCCGCGGACUGCACAUGAUACUGCGAGACUAGAGUGAUGGAGGGGGAAGCGGAAUUCGUGGUGUAGCAGUGAAAUGCGUAGAUAUCGAGAGGAACACUGGUGGCGAAGGCAGGUUCCUGGACAUUAACUGACGCUGAGGCACGAAGGCGAGGGGAGCGAAAGGGAUUAGAUACCCCAGUAGUC
rnacentral:rRNA from 1 species